AGGACGAACGCUGGCGGCGUGCUUAACACAUGCAAGUCGAGCGGAAAGGCCCUUCGGGGUACUCGAGCGGCGAACGGGUGAGUAACACGUGAGUAAUCUGCCCCUAGCUCUGGGAUAGCUCCGGGAAAACCGGGAUUAAUACCGGAUACGACCACCUUAGACAUCUUUUGUGGUGGAAAGAAUUUCGGCUAGGGAUGAGCUCGCGGCCUAUCAGCUUGUGGUGGGUAACGCUACCAAGGCGACGACGGGU
rnacentral:rRNA from 1 species